GUUUCUUCCACUCUCUCUUGAGCCUUCUUUGCCUAAAUAAACAAAAAAAAAAGAAAAUUAUUUAUAGGAAAAUUAAAAAUUCUCAAGUAACCAUUCAUUAUGGGGGUUGCUUACUUCUUGUUCUCAGUUGGUGCUUAGGGUAAUGAAUAGAUAAGACAUCACUUGUACUAGGAGUGCACAAAUAAUACCCAACCAUAAUCCCUAUUUAUAAUUGGAUAUAGAAGGAAGAGUAAAUCAAAUCUUCAUGACUUUAUAGUAAUAAUGCACCUUUAAGAGGCUAAAAAAGGGAUUUUAAGUUAUAUGAACGGAUAGCAUAAAGAUCCAAGGUUAAUAAAUGGCUCAACCUUCUGCUAUCCGAAUCCUCUUACUGCUCCUGGAUGUGAAAUGUAACAAUAUGCUCCGUUGUGAAUCUUUUUAAUCUAAAGAAGUUGCUCUUUCUUAUGUGACUUUGUGUAUAUUUUUAUGCUUAUGUGACUCAUGUAGUUGUGAUGCUGCUUCUUUUUUCUACAUAUAUAAGGGUCGUCCAGUUCUUCUGUAGUAUUUUUGUUAUUUUAGCUAUUCUUUUCGUCUGGUGGAAUUUACAAAAUAGUGAAAAGUCUAAAAACUAGAUUUGUGUAUAGAUAUUUACUUUGAGGUUCAAUGAGAAAUAUUGUACAUUUUUGCUUCAGUAGAUCUACUUACAGUAGAAAAUAUAGCCUAAACAAGAACACAGAAACCUAGAGAAGUUGGUAUAGAUGGAAUGUAAGUAUAAAUUUCUUUUAGUAGUGGAUUGAGUAGCUUGAUGUUAUGAUUCCCUUAUGGUGUAAAAAUUAGGUUAAAGUUCCUUUCCCUUGGCAUUUUGGCCUUGAUAUGAUCUUAGGGUCGUACUGGUGGUGUUUUCUUAUUGUGUGACUCCUUUACUUUGUACUGAUGUUACCAUUGUUACUAUUAUUACUUUGAUUAUUAUUGAUUCUUACAUGAUAGAUGCCUAGAGUAGCGCUAUUUAGAUAGUAUCUUCUUUCUUUAUGAUUCUUAUUUGUUGUCUUAAACGUCCACAUUGGUUGGUUGAUUUUUCCUUCUAUCAACAAGGAUAGUUUGGUUAUUGAGAAAGUCGUAGGAAGAAAUAUUUGGCAUUCCACAGUUCUGUUGUAAUUCUAGCAUUGGCAAUUCGUUUUCAUGGCCCGUUCUUAAGGCUAUUAAGUUGAGGUAGUUCUUUUGAUUUGGCUAGUUCAUCAUCUGGUAGUAGUCUUGAUAUUGGUCUUAUUGUUGAGAUGGGUACUCUAUUCUUCGUUUGAUGUUAUUUGUGGUCUAGUUGGGCUGAGAUUGGCUCAAAUGGGGGAAAUCAGUAAUUUCCCAUUUUGAGACUUGUUCGGCCUUUAUGAUUUUAUGGGAUGCUUCUUCUUGGUAGUAUAUGUAUGUGCAUCAAUUUUUGAAAACCAAAGUGGGUUUCCAUUGGGAGUAAUUAUUUUUUGCCAUCGAUUGAAUAUUGAUUCAACCAAAUGCAGGUGGGGUUGUUCUUUUAUCAACAUGUGCUUUUUUUUAUUUUCUUGUUUUAAAUUCUUUACCGUAUUUGCUUGUCUCCCUUUUUGCUUUUCUUUUAUCUUGUUUGUGAAAAAAUCACUUGGAUUGGAUUCUUUUCAUAGGUGGGGUUGCUAUAUAAGAUGUUAAAACUAUUGGUAAUUGCAUUUCAAAGGUCAAUGUAUAGGAAGCUGUUAAUACUUUACAUAUAUACUGAGAACAACCAGCAAGAGUGUCAUGUAUAUGUGAAUUACUUAUUCAUUGUAAUUCUUUCAUCAAUUGGGGUAACAGUUCUCUUGGCAGUGCUUGUAACAACCCAAUUCCUGCAGCUCUGACUGAUAUUACACUUGAGAUGGUUAAAUUUCAUUGGCCAAAUUAGGAUGCCAGAAUGAUUCUUCCUUUUUAUCUUUUUGUGUGUUUUUUUUUACUUUUCUUGCUUUCUAUGAAAUGACAACCAUAAGUUCACAAAGUGACUGUCUAAGGUUCAUUCAGGUAUAUCUCAAUUUCCAAAUACAAGAUCAAUGAACUUCUAUACUAUUACUAUUAUGGUACAAGUUGUUUAGGAAAUAUUUACACUUGUGUGUGUAUGUUUUUGUGUAUAGUUUUUCUGCCUUGUUUAUGUUCCUGAAGUGUUGUGCUUCUUGACGACUGAAGUUAUGGCAUUGGCUAAAGUUAUGGCAUCUAGGGAACUUUCAUUGGCUAAAGUUACACUUGUGUCUGAAUCCCUUCUUCUGAGGAUUCAUUGGCUAAAGUUAUAGCAUCUAGGGAACUUUCUUUAUUGAACCCCAUAUGGGUUCAUUCUAAGAGUAACCAUAAGCCCUUUUAUGCUAUACUUUAUAGGAUUGAUGUGGGAAUUGUAAUUGAUUUAGAACCUUUUAAUUCUAGUGAUCCUGCAUUACUGCUAGCUGGGGCAGUCCAAUCACAAAAACUGGCUAUCCAGUCGAUAACUAGGUUGCAGUCACUUCUUAGUGGAGAUAUAGGGAUUCUCUGUGAUACCGCGAUGAAAGAUGUACAGAAGCUGACUGGAUAUUAUAGGGUAAUGGUCUAUAAGUUUCAUGAUGAUAAUCAUGGUGAAAUAGUGUUUGAGAUUAGGGGAUUAGACUUGGAACCUUAUUUGGGUUUGCAAAAGAAGAAAAAUAACAAUCUUCAUUCAUCAGAUAAAAAUAACAUAACAGAUUGCCUCUCAUAUGGAUGUGUAUAUAUAUCUUGUAUUAUACUUCCGUAAAUAUGUAAUGCAGCCCUUUUCCUUCCUUGAAACUAUCUUUGGUUCCAUUCUAGCGACAUCUUUCAAUCCAUUACCAGUGGCACAGUGCUCUCCACACUAAGAACAAAUAAUUUAUUAUCUCCAGCAUACACAUUUUUCAUUAGCUAGUCUAUCCUUAGUAGUACAUUUACCCGAGAUAGCUAAUUGCUGGAUGAGCAGCCACUUUUAACCACCACCUUUGUUGGAAAUAAGUUUCUUCCAUUCCAAUCCCCUCUUAGUUUAUUUCAUUAAUGAAAUCUCCAUGGAAAAACUAGCUUUCACUAAAGUACUUUUAGCCUUCAUGAUCUUCCUUACUACCCAAGAAACUUGCUUUGGAUACACUUCCUAUGCACUCUUUCCUACAAAGGUUACAAAAGUGUUUGUGUCACAUUCCUAAUUACUCCUAGACAUGAUUAGGCAAAAUAUAGACAACUGUAGACAUGAUUCUAACAGAAACCAAAUUGAGCAACAACCCAUGCCUUACCAGGCAAGCGAAUAUAGUAUGUACAUGUGAUUUCUUUUUGGGUCUUCAGUCCUUGUAGGUUGCAGUACUCUUAAAUCAGAAUCAUGAAGGUUUUUCCCACUCUUCCCAGAUUGUUACUGUAGAUCUUCUCUGGUUCACUAUAAUUAUAUAAUUAAAUAUCAACUCCUUUUCUCAACAACUAUUUGUUCCACUCCAAUGUAUGGUAGUAAGUCUCUACUCUGGUUCACAACCCCUCGUUUCAAUUUAUAUACCAUAGUUUGCUUGGGUACAAUUAAGAAAGGAAGAAUUUUGAAAAUUUUGGUCUUAAACAUGCUAUAAUAUUUGUUUGUCUAUAUGACUUUUGAAACUUAUAGGCUUAAAUAUGGCAAUAAAAACUUUUCAUUAAAGGUAAAAUAAGUUCAAUUAUUUUUAAACUUAAAGGUGUCAUUCUUUUUGGAGCUGAUUAAUUAGAAAUCAUGUCAUAUAAAAUGAAAUGGUGUGAGGCAGGUGGAGGGGGAGAAAACAAAGUUAACAUUUAUAGAAGUUCUGCACUCCUAAUGCUUGCUUGAAACUCCUAAUGUUACAGUGAUGUUACAGGGGUUGAAAUUGUAGGUGCAUUGAAAAAUGUGUUGGCAAUUGCAGCUAUGUGACUGAUUAUUGUAAUUCAAGCAUCGAUUCCGAGAAUGAGAUAUUAGGUGGCUAGUAAAUAAAAUCAAUGGCAUCAAAAGGUAAUGUUAAAGGACGACGUAAGAAAAGUAAGAAAGGAACUGAUAAUCUUUCUACAGGUCAAUAUACACUACUACCACCACCACCAUCUAUUACCACAACUCUUCAACCAACUACUACAAAUAUUCUUCCCCCUUCUAAAUGCACUAUUUUACUACCAAAUGCAUUUUUGAUGCCUUCAUCAUCUAACCAGUUCCACAUCUCUUCAUCCCAAAAUAGUUUGCAUAGUAGCUCUUCAUCUGUGCCUUCGACAUCAUCCGCACCAAGCCUUUCUCUAUUGAGAGUUGGAGGUCCACUAACAUCGCCAUCCAUUGAUAGUGCUACAAUGCCUAAUGCUACAACAACUGUUUCUCAGAAUUUGCAAUUUAAAGAGGUAUUAGAAUAUGACAAUGUUGAGAGGAUAUGAAUCAUCCCUUAUUGUGAUGAUUGAAAGAAGUUCUACGAAUCAAAGAACACUUGUAUGAGGUCCGGAGGAAAUUGGUAAAACCUGGUUGGUUGAGUGAUAAAGUGUGGACUUAGUUCUUGAUAUUAUGGGACACUCCCGAAUAUAAGGCAAAGAGAAAAUGAGGAAAGGCAAAUCGAGCCUCUAAAAUGGGUGGCUCACUGCAUACUGGAGGUUCGAUGAGUUUUGCUACCCACCAACGAAAACUGGCUAACCAAUUUUGGCAUGGAAUGACCCGACCUAUAUAUUGGCAUGGCAACACUAUUUAUGCCCUGUGAUUGAGGCUUCUCUCUUCCCUACAAUCAGUGUUUGCAGCCAUGGGGUGGCUGGCUUCUCUUUUGCCUUGUGGGAGAACACACCUGAGCCCCAUUUUUAUGAAAAGAGUGAAAAAAGUAAUCUUUUUCAUGAUUUAAUUUGGAUUAAGUUGAACCAACAAUAUUUUUCUACAAGAUUUAAUUUGAACCAUUUUACAGUCCUACUGUAUCACACCAUAUUUGUUCAGUAUCAAAUGAACACAACCUUGCAAGGAUGAAGAAUGAGGCAGUAUAAGAUGACCUUAAAAGCUAACUUUUACAGUAACAUUGACCUGUAUAAAUGGGUAAAAUUUUGCAUAUAUUCUUAAAUGGGGGAGUAGAUGUACCUCUUCCUAAGACGUUCGAAGAGACACAUAAGAAGAAAAAGCCGAACGGUACAAGAGAAGAAUGGGUCAAACCGCGUCCUAAGGAUGCAUAUGAAGGAUUUCAAAAAAGUAUUGAGGAUUGGCGUCAAACCCAACCUGCUUUAGAGGAUGGUACCAUGGUCCAACUAUCGCCUGCUGAUAUGACUAGAAUAUGGACAACUGUGGUAGGUGGUCCAAAGAAGGGUAGAACCUAUGGGCUUGAAGUUAACCAAUCCCCGAGUAGUUCUUCCCCAAUGUUGCCCAACUCUGCUUCUAUUUCGCAAAAUGCGAAAGAAAUAGAAGCGAUGAGAACAAAGAUUGAAGAGUUGACACAACACUGUGCAGUUAGUGAUGCCAAAUUUUCCAAGUUUGAAGCGUUAGUCAAGAAGCAUAUGCCUUGAGGAUGGGGACGAUAGUGAAUCAGAUGAUUAGAUUGUAGUGGUUGGUUGUUCUUGUUUAUGAUUGUGACAUUUAGACUUAAACUAUUAGAAUUGGUGUUUGUUUUGGAUUGUGAUGUUUAGACUUGUCUUAAAAUGCUUAAACUAUUUGAUUCCGCUA